CUUAGUUUGAAUCUAAAUUGCCAAUUCAAUCCAACAAAUAUAUUACAAGCUGUACUAUCUGUGGGGCACAAGAUGGUGCCCAACAAAAAAGUGAGAAAAAGAAAGCUCAAACCAGACUAUCACUUUUCUGAUGGUGAUAGUUUCUUGUUACCUUAUCCAAAGAAAUGUGUUUAAGUGGUGUGAGUAAAUCAUGCAUUUGAGGUAAGUAAAAAAUGUUUUCCCUUUGUGGCAAGACACUUCAUUUUUUUUUUUUUUUUUUAAAGCUACAUUGUCUAAUGGUUGGACAUCUUUAAAGAAAGGGCAUACUACCAUGUACAUGUAAACUCUAGCAUUCCUUUAGUAGUGCAGUAAGCGUGCACGGUAGUUCAGGAG